rnacentral:tRNA from 1 species
GGCGGAUUAGGAUAAGUUUAAGUAGUCCGAUUGAUUCAUAGUCAAUAGGUGUAUUCGUUU